rnacentral:rRNA from 1 species
UACAGAGGGUGCGAGCGUUAAUCGGAAUUACUGGGCGUAAAGGGCGCGUAGGCGGCACGGCAAGUCGGGAGUGAAAGCCCGGGGCUCAACCCCGGAACGUCUUUCGAAACUGCCGAGCUAGAGUGCGGAAGGGGCAACUGGAAUUCCCAGUGUAGCGGUGAAAUGCGUAGAUAUUGGGAAGAACACCUGAGGCGAAGGCGGGUUGCUGGGCCGACACUGACGCUGAGGCGCGAAAGCCAGGGGAGCGAACGGG